GAUGAACGCUAGCUACAGGCUUAACACAUGCAAGUCGAGGGACCGGCGCACGGGUGAGUAACACGUAUCCCACCUGCCCUUUACUCGAGGAUAGCCUUUCGAAAGAAAUAUUAAUACCCGAUAUAAUGGAUGGGGAUGCGUUCCAUUAGGUUGUUGGUGAGGGAACGGCUCACCACGCCUUCGAUGGAUAGGGGUUCUGAGAGGAAGGUCCCCCACAUGGGAACUGAGACACGGUCCAAACUCGUACGGGAGGCAGGAGUGAGGAAUAUUGGGCAAUGGGCGCUAGCCUGAACCAGCCAAGUAGCGGGAAGGAUGAAGGCGUAUGGGUCGUAAAUUUCUGGUAUAGAAGAAGAUGUAUUAUAUGAAUAAGGAUCGGCUAACUCCGUGCCAGCAGCCGCGGUAAUAC
rnacentral:rRNA from 1 species